rnacentral:misc_RNA from 1 species
GUCUGGGCGACUCUCUAGGGUGCGUCGAUGGCGCCUGCGACCUCGAUGUGCUCGGAUCUUGUGCUAACGAUGGCGGAUUGUUCACUGAUGAACUAUCUCCAUCGCGUUACCACACCUCAUCUUGGGCAACACCGUAUCCACCGCCGCCGCCGGUGAGACCCCUCUCGGCAUGUUCGCUAUCUUCCCCUCUAAGUUUAGCACCGAUCAAUUUCAAGGUUGGGACGGUUUGGCGUCACAUUGUGUGGCCGCCGGUGAAGCUCCGCCGCGGGUAUGCCUUGCGGCGCCGCCGUGUUCGGCUGGGGUUGGUGGCGUGGUCUCGUCCGUCGAUCGCUUGGUUAAUGGCUAGGAUUGAUUCUAGAGUUACUGGUUCAGAAAUAAAAUCUGGUCCAUCGAUACAGGAUCGUGCGGCCGAUGGUGGGUAUCGG